rnacentral:rRNA from 1 species
AGUGAACGUUGGCGGCGUGGAUUAGGCAUGCAGGUCGAGCGAGAACCGUAGCAAUACGGGGACAGCGGCGAAAGGGACAGUAAUGUGUAGGUACCUACCCCGAGGUCUGGGAUAGCUGCGGGAAACUGCAGGUAAUACCGGAUAAUGUCUUCGGACCAAAGGUGUGAUUCCACCUUGGGAGGGGCCUGCAUCCUAUUAGCUUGUUGGCGGGGUAACGGCCCACCAAGGCGACGAUGGGUAGCGGGUGUGAGAGCACGACCCGCGUCAUUGGGACUGAGACACUGCCCAGACACCUACGGGUGGCUGCAGUCGAGGAUCUUCGGCAAUGGGCGCAAGCCUGACCGGGCGACGCCGCGUGCGGGAUGAAGGCCUUAGGGUUGUAAACCGCUGUCGUAGAGGAGGAAAUGCAGGGGGGUUCUCCCUUCUGUUUGACCUAUUCUAGGAGGAAGGACGGGCUAAGUUCGUGCCAGCAGCCGCCGUAA